rnacentral:rRNA from 1 species
UUGAAAGGGAAACGAUUGAAGUCAGUCGUACUGAUAGGAAAUCAACUUCUCGAGUGCUUGUCGUGGAUGACGUUGAGCUUCACGGCCUUCGUUGCUUACGUUAUGGUGCUUUUGAGGUGUACUUUCCGUAUGGUAGGUCAACAUCGAUUUUGAUCGUCAUAAAAUGAUCGGAGGAAUGUGGCUCUGAUCUCGUAUCGGAGUGUUAUAGCCUUUGGUAGAUGUGAUGUUUGGGGUCGAGGAUUGCAACGGAUACCCUCUGGGGCUAGCCGCCUGAUCUCUAAUCGGUGUUGGGUUACGGAUAGCAUGCNNNNNNUNNNCNAAUUACUGGUUAAAAGGUUAGAGCGUGCAUAAAUUCGUUAAGGAUGUUGACGUA